CCUACGGGUGGCAGCAGUGGGGAAUAUUGGACAAUGGGGGCAACCCUGAUCCAGCCAUGCCGCGUGUGUGAAGAAGGCCCUCGGGUUGUAAAGCACUUUCAGUGACGAAGAACGCCUGGUGGUUAAUACCCAUCAGGAAAGACAUCACUCACAGAAGAAGCACCGGCUAACUCCGUGCCAGCAGCCGCGGUAAUACGGAGGGUGCGAGCGUUAAUCGGAAUUACUGGGCGUAAAGCGCGCGUAGGUGGCUUGAUAAGCCGGUUGUGAAAGCCCCGGGCUCAACCUGGGAACGGCAUCCGGAACUGUCAAGCUAGAGGGCAGGAGAGGAAGGUAGAAUUCCCGGUGUAGCGGUGAAAUGCGUAGAGAUCGGGAGGAAUACCAGUGGCGAAGGCGGCCUUCUGGACUGACACUGACACUGAGGUGCGAAAGCGUGGGUAGCAAACAGGAUUAGAUACCCUGGUAGUC
rnacentral:rRNA from 1 species